rnacentral:rRNA from 1 species
UACGUAGGGCGCAAGCGUUGUCCGGAAUUAUUGGGCGUAAAGAGCUCGUAGGCGGCUUGUCGCGUCGGUUGUGAAAGCCCGGGGCUUAACCCCGGGUCUGCAGUCGAUACGGGCAGGCUAGAGUGUGGUAGGGGAGAUCGGAAUUCCUGGUGGUAGCGGUGAAAUGCGCAGAUAUCAGGAGGAACACCGGUGGCGAAGGCGGAUCUCUGGGCCAUUACUGACGCUGAGGAGCGAAAGCGUGGGGAGCGAACAGG